CCUAUCAGCUUUAGACGGUAGGGUAUUGGCCUACCGUGGCCAUGACGGGUAACGGGGAAUUAGGGUUCGAUUCCGGAGAGGGAGCCUGAGAAACGGCUACCACAUCUAAGGAAGGCAGCAGGCGCGCAAAUUACCCAAUCCUAAUACAGGGAGGUAGUGACAAGAAAUAACAAUACAGGACUUUUUGGUUUUGUAAUUGGAAUGAGUUAAGUAUAAACCCCUUUACAAGUAUCAAUUGGAGGGCAAGUCUGGUGCCAGCAGCCGCGGUAAUUCCAGCUCCAAUAGCGUAUAUUAAAGUUGUUGCAGUUAAAAAGCUCGUAGUUGGAUUUCUGUUAAUAAUUUAUAUAAAAUAUUUUGAUGAAUAUUUAUAUAAUAUUAACAUAAUUCAUAUUACUAUAUUUUUUAGUAUAUGAUAUUUUACUUUGAGAAAAUUAUAGUGCUUAAAGCAGGCAUAUGCCUUGAAUACUCCAGGAUGGAAUAAUAUUAAAGAUUUUUAUCUUUCUUAUUGGUUCUAAGAUAAGAAUAAUGAUUAAUAGGGACAGUUGGGGGCAUUUGUAUUUAACAGUCAGA
rnacentral:rRNA from 1 species